CUAUUUUUUAGAACCGAAUAUAAAGACAAGUGCAGCUAUAAAGAGGAAUGCCCUGUAGACUAUCAUUCAGGAUACCCCAAGUGCCACAAGAAGCAGUACUGUCACCAAGUGGCAGUGCAAGUGCCGGAGAAUAACUGCAGUCAAAUUCCACAGAAGAAAUGUAGACAAGUGCCUCAACACUACAAUGUUAAGGUUCCUUACCAGAAAUGUCACAAAGUACCCAAGGAAACCUGUCACGAUGUUCCAUUUACUGUAUCGAGAAAGGUUCCAUACGAGGUUCCUAAAAAGGUUUGCGGCUACGGUAACAACAGAGGUGGGGGAGGUGGAGGAUUUCUCUCCAAUAUAUUCGGAUAAUUCUAUUUGAAGACGACAUUUAGAUAAUUCCAUUUGAAGACGACAUUUAGAUAAUUCCAUUUGAAGACGAUCUUUAGAUAAUUCCAUUUGAAGACGACCUUUAGAUAAAUCGCAUAUUUAUCUUCAAACAAAGCAUUAUGUACAUUUAUUUUCAUUAUUUACAACUACUUUACAGGGAGAGUUAAGGGAAUUUUACUUUACCAAGGGUUCCUUGGAU